CGCGCGCAUCCUCCUGCCAGUGGUUUGGUGCGUAAAGAGCGAGCGAUUGCGACAAGGUGUUGCGUUUGGCUCGGUUCCUCCUCAGCGGGGAGGUCAGCGGGCCAUUGGAGCAUUUGAAACAUUUCCUCCUUUGUGUUCUCUGUGCCUCAACACCCCUCAGUCGACCGUGGGAUAUCUGCGUUUGUAGCAAAAUGACGGGUUUGCGGAGUUUGCUCCCAGCUGUCCUCCUUCUCCUCGGUUUGGUGACGGUGUUCGCCCAGACUUCCGCACCUGGCAAAGUGUGCGAGUCUAAGAAUGGGACAAGCUGUGAGGAAUGUCUGAGCAAUGUGACGUGCUUAUGGUGCAUAACAACAAAGUCGUGCAUUACGUACCCUGUGCAGACCAUCCUUCCACCACACUCCCUGUGUCCACUGAAUGAUGCUCGCUGGGGGCUUUGCUGGAUGAACUUCCAGGCAUUGAUAAUCACCUUGGCUGUGGUGGGUGGAGUCAUCAUCAUUGCCUUCUUGAUUUGCCUGUUCUGUUGCUGCAAGUGUGAGAAUUUCGGAUCCAGCAGGUUUGAAGCCAAGAUGGAGAGACAGGCCAAUAAGACACGGACCAAACAGGAAGAACGGAGGGCAGAGAUGAAACAGAGACAUGACGAAAUCAGGAAGAAAUACGGCACUAUUUCCCCAUUGUGAGCUCCUGAGGUAUUAGUGAAACAGCACAGCAUGGUCGUGCGACUUCAAAUGCCUACAAGGAGCAAACCCAUACUCCAGAUUUGCGUGAAAUUCCUGCUUCGCCCCGACCUCUUACCUCUGACCUUGUGGACACCAUCAGCCAGCCCUGCCGUUGUAAAGAUACAUGUUGACCUAAGAGCGAAUCUAAAACCAUCCAUAACAAAAAUUCACAAAAGUGAUGUUGGCUUUACAUAGGCAGCCUGCCACUUCUUCCUGUCAGGUGUAUUUAAGCUCUGUUUAAUGCUGUGUAAUGAUCAAAGAGGCUGUAAUAAAAGGCUAGUGCAGACAGAUGUAGCAGCAGUGUUCUUUGGCAGUAGGCUACAAAACUAUUUACCAGCCUGUGGCUCCUAUAGGAUUAGUUUAUUAUAUUUAUUGGGUCAACUCCUCAGUCUAAUUGUACCUUGUGGAAAGAAUUCAGUUUGGAUUAAGACUGAUUAAGGCUUUAUGUAACUCCAGUUGUUCAUGAGAAACUGUUUCAUCCACUUUUUUUUUUUCCAGUUUGGCAUAACCCAUGUUUUUUGCAGCAGCAGCCUUGGUACUUGCUGAUUUAGCAAACUAUAUGUCUGCAGUAUUUUCUGUAAUUUCAAACUGAGUCCUUCCCAAUGAAAAUAUUCCUGUGCGGCAAACUUGUACUACUUUCAGGCCAUUUUUGUUUUAUUCUUUCUGUAGGUUCCAUUUAAAGGAAUACUUUGGCUAUUUUUUUACCCCCUGGAAUCAAAUUAUGGCUCUGAGAAAUUUGUUUAUAGCAUGAAGUAAAAAUCAAAUCUGUACCUUUGCUCUCUGAAAUUGAUAGCUCAUUCUUUUUAAUUGAAUGAGCAGACUUUGCAAUUUGAUUGCAGUCGGCCCCAGGCUUGUAACAUAUAUGCCUAAUCAAACUGUGGACGUAUUGUUAGUGACACUGAAUUUUGUUUUGUGUGUACGCCUAUAACUGAAGUUUUAUUAAAACAGAAUCACUUGUCUUUUCA